UGCAGUCGCACGGGCAGCAAUGUCAGUGGCGGACGGGUGAGUAACGCGUAGGUAUCUAUCCUUGGGUGGGGGACAACUGCGGGAAACUGCAGCUAAUACCGCAUGAUAACCGAGGUUCAAAGGCGCAAGUCGCCUGAGGAGGAGCCUGCGUACGAUUAGCUUGUUGGUGGGGUAAAGGCCUACCAAGGCGACGAUCGUUAGCUGGUCUGAGAGGAUGAUCAGCCACAUUGGGACUGAGACACGGCCCAAACUCCUACGGGAGGCAGCAGUGGGGAAUAUUGGACAAUGGGCGAAAGCCUGAUCCAGCAAUGCCGCGUGUGUGAAGAAGGUCUUCGGAUUGUAAAGCACUUUCGACAGGGACGAUGAUGACGGUACCUGUAGAAGAAGCCCCGGCUAACUUCGUGCCAGCAGCCGCGGUAAUACGAAGGGGGCUAGCGUUGCUCGGAAUGACUGGGCGUAAAGGGCGCGUAGGCGGAUGGCACAGUCGGAUGUGAAAUUCCCGGGCUUAACCUGGGGGCUGCAUUCGAUACGUGUUAUCUAGAGUGAGGAAGAGGGUCGUGGAAUUCCCAGUGUAGAGGUGAAAUUCGUAGAUAUUGGGAAGAACACCGGUGGCGAAGGCGGCGACCUGGUCCUUUACUGACGCUGAGGCGCGAAAGCGUGGGGAGCAAACAGGAUUAAGAUACCCUGGUAGUCCACGCUGUAAACGAUGUGUGCUGGAUGUUGGGCGACCUAGUCGCUCAGUGUCGUAGCUAACGCGAUAAGCACCACCGCCUGGAGUACGCGCAGUUGAACUCAAGGAAUGACGGGGCCCGCACAAGCGGUGGAGCAUGUG
rnacentral:rRNA from 1 species